rnacentral:rRNA from 1 species
AAACUAGGAUUAGAUACCCUAUUAUACCAGGAGGAAAAAUUAAUAUACUUGAGUAAUAAAAAUAAAUUGGUUCAAAAUUCAAAGAAUUUGGCGGUAUUUUAGUCUGGUUGGAGGAACCUGUUUUAUAAACGAUAAACCACGUAAAAUCUUUCUUAUUCUAGUUUAGUUAGUAUACCUUCAUUGUUAGAUAACUUAAGGAUAAAAGUUAUUGGAAUCGGUCUCCUGAGUAUGUUAGAUCACGGUGCUGCUUAUGGAUAAGUAAAAAUGGGUUACAAUAAGAUUUAGUUAUAACGGAGUUAAAAAUUGAAAUAUGUUAAUGAAGGAGGAUUCAAUUGUAAUUGAGGAUUUAAUAAGGUUAGAUGAUAUAAGCUCUAAAAUGUGUACAUAUUGCCCGUCGCUUUCAUCAAAUGUAGGUGAGAUAAGUCGUAACAUAGUAGAUGUACUGGAAAGUGCAU